rnacentral:rRNA from 1 species
CAACCUGCCGUCUACUCUUGGCCAGCCUUCUGAAAGGAAGAUUAAUCCAGGAUGGCAUCAUGAGUUCACAUGUCCGCAUGAUUAAAGGUAUUUUCCGGUAGACGAUGGGGAUGCGUUCCAUUAGAUAGUAGGCGGGGUAACGGCCCACCUAGUCAACGAUGGAUAGGGGUUCUGAGAGGAAGGUCCCCCACAUUGGAACUGAGACACGGUCCAA